rnacentral:rRNA from 1 species
UACGGAGGAUGCGAGCGUUAUCCGGAUUUAUUGGGUUUAAAGGGUGCGUAGGCGGGAUGCCAAGUCAGCGGUAAAAAUGCGGUGCUCAACGCCGUCGAGCCGUUGAAACUGAUGAUCUUGAGUGGGCGAGAAGUAUGCGGAAUGCGUGGUGUAGCGGUGAAAUGCAUAGAUAUCACGCAGAACUCCGAUCGCGAAGGCAGCCUACCGGCGCGCUACUGACGCUCAUGCACGAAAGCGUGGGUAUCGAACAGG